GGAUUGRUGCCUUCGGRAGCUCUGACACAGGUGCUGCAUGGCUGUCGUCAGCUCGUGUCGKGAGAUGUUGGGUUAAGUCCCGUAACGAGCGCAACCCUUGUCCUUAGUUACCAGCACGUUAUGGUGGGCACUCUAAGGAGACUGCCGGUGACAAACCGGAGGAAGGUGGGGAUGACGUCAAGUCAUCAUGGCCCUUACGGCCUGGGCUACACACGUGCUACAAUGGUCGGUACAGAGGGUUGCCAAGCCGCGAGGUGGAGCUAAUCUCACAAAACCGAUCGUAGUCCGGAUCGCAGUCUGCAACUCGACUGCGUGAAGUCGGAAUCGCUAGUAAUCGCGAAUCAGAAUGUCGCGGUGAAUACGUUCCCGGGUCUUGUACACACCG
rnacentral:rRNA from 1 species